AGUGAACGCUGGCGGUAGGCCUAACACAUGCAAGUCGAACGGCAGCACAGUAAGAGCUUGCUCUUACGGGUGGCGAGUGGCGGACAGGUGAGGAAUACAUCGGAAUCUACUUUUUCGUGGGGGAUAACGUAGGGAAACUUACGCUAAUACCGCAUACGACCUACGGGUGAAAGCAGGGGAUCUUCGGACCUUGCGCGAUUGAAUGAGCCGAUGUCGGAUUAGCUAGUUGGCGGGGUAAAGGCCCACCAAGGCGACGAUCCGUAGCUGGUCUGAGAGGAUGAUCAGCCACACUGGAACUGGGACACGGUCCAGACUCCUACGGGAGGCAGCAGUGGGGAAUAUUGGACAAUGGGCGCAAGCCUGAUCCAGCCAUACCGCGUGGGUGAAGAAGGCCUUCGGGUUGUAAAGCCCUUUUGUUGGGAAAGAAAAGCAGCAGGUUAAUACCCCGCUGUUCUGACGGUACCCAAAGAAUAAGCACCGGCUAACUUCGUG
rnacentral:rRNA from 1 species